AGAGUUUGAUCAUGGCUCAGGACGAACGCUGGCGGCGUGGAUAAGGCAUGCAAGUCGAACGGGAUGGAGUCGCAAGCAAUUGCUUCUCCUGAGAGUGGCGAACGGGUGAGUAACACGUGGGUAACAUACCUCCGGGUGGGGGAUAACCCAGGGAAACCUGGGCUAAUACCGCAGAUGUCGGAUCGUCCAUGACGGACUGACUAAAGGUGGGGACCUUCGGGCCCGCCGCCUGGAGAUUGGCCCGCGCCCCAUUAGCUUGUUGGCGGGGUAAUGGCCCACCAAGGCGACGAUGGGUAGCCGGCCUGAGAAGGUGUCCGGCCACACUGGGAUUGAGAUACGGCCCAGACUCCUUCGGGAGGCAGCAGUCGAGGAUCUUCCACAAUGGGCGAAAGCCUGAUGGAGCGACGCCGCGUGAGGGAUGAAGGCCCUUUGGGUUGUAAACCUCUGUUAGGGGAGAAGAACAGCGGGGGGAGCAACAUGCCCUCCGCCUGACGUUAUCCCCAGAGAAAGCUCCGGCCAACUCCGUGCCAGCAGCCGCGGUAAUACGGGGGGAGCGAGCGUUGUCCGGAAUCAUUGGGCGUAAAGGGCGUGUAGGCGGCUGGGCAAGUCGAAUGUGAAAUCCCACGGCUCAACCGUGGAACUGCGUUCGAAACUGCCCUGCUUGAGUGCGGGAGAGGUGUGCGGAAUUCCUGGUGUAGCGGUGGAAUGCGUAGAUAUCAGGAAGAACACCGGUGGCGAAGGCGGCACACUGGCCUGGCACUGACGCUGAGGCGCGAAAGCGUGGGGAGCGAACGGGAUUAGAUACCCGGGUAGUCCUGGCCGUAAACGAUGGACGCUAGGUGUGGGCGGUUUAUCCGUCUGUGCCGAAGUUAACGCGUUAAGCGUCCCGCCUGGGGAGUACGAUCGCAAGGUUGAAACUCAAAGGAAUUGACGG
rnacentral:rRNA from 1 species